UCACCCAUUCCAGACAAAGGCUAAUCCUCCAUCAUCUCCAGGAGGGGCGGGCAACCUUCUCCGGGAAGGACCAGGUAUGGGCACUGCAGGCCACACGGGAGCUGUCUCUGUUGCCACCAGUCAGCCGCGCCACCGUGGUGCCAAGGCCGCCACAAACCGUCCGUAACCAAACGGCGGCGGCCGCUUCAAUGACACUUGUUCUAUCGAAACAAACCAGCCGGGCUCGUCCCGAGGGCCACGGCUCGCUGACUUCUGAUCUACGUUCCCGGCGAUUAUCUCAAGGGCACACCUUCAAAGACGCGGGAACGAGUUUCCGAAGAGAAAGACGGGUCAAUGGAUACAGAGAACACUGCUGUCUUCGCUCUGGCCCGUCCCCUAGUGUCCAGGCCCCCAUCUUUUGAUAAUGGCACCCCAAACUCUGCCAGGGGUCUGAGGAUCCACCCACUUCCUCCAUUAGACCGGCCAUUUCAGAUGGUAUUUCCAGGCCUUGACUACCUGUGGCAAUAUAUGUUUUUCCUUAUUAACAACUGUCUUUGGCAUUCCAAUGAUGUGAUUCGUAUUGUUCCCUGACACCAGAAAGAUCACUUAAUGAGGAUAAAAGUGGUUUUUAAGCUUUU